rnacentral:rRNA from 1 species
AAGACUAAGCCAUGCAUGUCUCCGAAUAAGAGGAAGCAAUUCUCUCCGAAUCUGCGAACGGCUCCGCAAACCAGUUGUAAACGACGGCAAGUAUGCACGUUACCUGUCCCCGGAUUCGUCCGGGGGUAAGGGCGGGCGAUAAGGAUAACCCUGGUAAUUCUGAGGCUAACACGUGACUGUACACCCCGGCCGCCCCUCGCGGAGGCCGGGGACUGUGUGUUCCGUUUUUGCAGCGGGAAAACCGGGAAAGGACGCACGGUCUAAUUGCGGAUGAAGGGUCUCCGGUGCGCCCGCUCCCUCCGGGGGGCCGGCAACCCGCGGGUCCCCGCAAUCCUUGCACCGUGCUUCUGACCUAUCAACUGCACAGCAGCGUAACGGACAUGCUGUGGUUACAACGGGUACAGAGGAUUAGGGUUCGAUCCUGGAGAGUGGGCCUGAGAGAUUGCUCACACUUCUAAGGAAGGCAGCAGGCGCGUAACGUUCCCAUUGGGCAAAGCCCGAGGGCGUUAGGGGAAAUAUGAAUGUCCGCCAAUCGGUGGACAAUUCAAAUGGGUCUGUUGUAAACAGCCUUUCGAGUAACA